UUAUCUCAAUUGAUUGUUCACAGU
rnacentral:piRNA from 1 species